UACGUAGGGGGCAAGCGUUGUCCGGAUUCAUUGGGCGUAAAGGGUGCGUAGGCGGUGAGGCAAGUCUGGUGUGAAAUCCCGGAGCUCAACUCCGGAACUGCACUGGAUACUGCUUUACUAGAGUACUGGAGAGGGAACUGGAAUUUACGGUGUAGCAGUGAAAUGCGUAGAUAUCGUAAGGAAGACCAGUGGCGAAGGCGAGUUCCUGGACAGUUACUGACGCUGAGGCACGAAGGCCAGGGGAGCAAACGGG
rnacentral:rRNA from 1 species